GUGGGGAAUAUUGGGCAAUGGGCGCAAGCCUGACCCAGCAACGCCGCGUGAGGGAAGAAGGUCUUCGGAUUGUAAACCUCUGUCCUUGGGGACGAAAAAAAUGACGGUACCCAAGGAGGAAGCUCCGGCUAACUACGUGCCAGCAGCCGCGGUAAUACGUAGGGAGCGAGCGUUGUCCGGAAUUACUGGGCGUAAAGGGUGCGUAGGCGGCUUGGCAAGUCAGAUGUGAAAUCCCCGGGCUUAACUCGGGAGUUGCAUUUGAAACUGCUGGGCUUGAGUGCAGGAGAGGAAAGCGGAAUUCCUAGUGUAGCGGUGAAAUGCGUAGAUAUUAGGAGGAACACCAGUGGCGAAGGCGGCUUUCUGGACUGUAACUGACGCUGAGGCACGAAAGCGUGGGGAGCAAACAGGAUUAGAAACCCCAGUAGUCC
rnacentral:rRNA from 1 species